AUUGAACGCUGGCGGCGGGCCUAACACAUGCAAGUCGAACGAGUGGCGGACGGGUGAUUAAUGUCUGGGAAACUGCCUGCUGGCGGGGGAUAACUAAUGGAAACGGUAGCUAAUACCGCAUACCAUCGGAUGUGCCCAGAGGGGAUUGGCUAGUAGGUUGGGUAAUGGCUCACCUAGGCGACGAUCCCUAGCUGGUCUGAGAGGAUGACCAGCCACACUGGAACUGAGACACGGUCCAGACUCCUACGGGAGGCAGCAGUGGGGAAGAUUGCACAAUGGGCGCAAGCCUGAUGCAGCCAUGCCGCGUGUAUGAAGAAGGCCUUCGGGUUGUAAAGUACUUUCAGCGGGGAGGCGUUACCCGCAGAAGAAGCACCGGCUAACUCCGUGCCAGCAGCCGCGGUAAUUC
rnacentral:rRNA from 1 species